AUGCUCUUUCCUCAUGAUCACAAAAUGGCUAUUACCGUUAUGAACGUACAUCUUUAUGCCACGAUCUCCAGGAGUAGAGAGAAGGGUGUGAAUGACCUCAUCAACAUCCUUCCGCCUCUGAGAGAAGAGCUGCUGGAGACUCCUGGAUGUCUGGCCCAAAGCUGGAGGCUCUGAAAGGGCUGAGAGAUGAUUUGGAAGAUACCAUUUGACUGCUUUUUACUGACGUGACCAUAUGUCUACCCGGAGAUUGGAGACCUUGGACAGCUGGAGAACCCAGACCAAUGAAGACAAGAGAGCUGCUCUUUGUGUGACGCAUUUCCUCACCCAGCCGCAGAUUGCAACAGAGGAGAUGAGAUAAAGAUGAGGAACCUCAACAGAAAGGAUGGAUGUAAACAGUGGGUUUGCUGUGCAGUGACAAGAGCCCAGCUUGGGAAGGUCACCUUUAUUGAACUGUUUUCCUGUUGGCCAUCCCUUCUGGGCCCCAAGUUCUGCAUUUGCAGCAUCUGGCACAGUGCUGGGCACAUCCUGAGCUUGAGAAAAGGAACCUGGGCAGGAGGAGAUAAGCCAAUAUAUCUGCCUGUUGAGCCUACAGUUAAAAAUAAUUAUAGAGAACAUGGUGAUGCUUCAGAAACUGUCAGGAUCUUUACUCUUUGUCCAGGAAGCCCUGAACUGUCAUUGGAAAUAAGAUGCCAGAACCACAGAUGUCCUUAG
rnacentral:lncRNA from 1 species